UUGUGGACUGUCGGAAUAGUUUGGUGUUGUGAUGCAUUAUAUUUGAAAUAUUUACAGAGAUUUCAAGAAAAUAGAAGUGUGAAACAAGUUAAAACCAUCUUUGAACCAAACUGAAGGAUUUAAAAAUUGAUAAAGAUUGCAAAAAUUGAGAUUCUAAAUUGCCAUCAUUUAUUAUGGCUUCCAUUAUUGCAUACAUAUGAAUAAAUGAGGCUAUCGCUUCUUCAGUGGGGGCAGAAAGGCCCCCUCUUUCAACAGAAUGGGACCCAUAACCAGAAUAUAAAUUUUAAUGGAAUCAUCUACAACACAAUCGGAC